GUCAGAGUCUAACAAUGAACCGUCUGUGUCAGGAAAACAGACGUACUCGGCAGGGCUAUUUUUAGGGGUUCAGAUCUCCCCCUCUCUGAGUCUGCCUCCCCCCCUCUUCUGUGCUGAGUGGCGCCUGGCAGAUUGGUGGAGAUUUAAAGGCCACAGAUAGGAAAGAGCUCAAACACAAUGAAGGAAAUGCAGCAGGGAGGGGAGAGAUGGGUGCCCAGAAAUAGCCUGUGCGACGCCUCAGCCACAGCCCCCAGCUCUAGUGGAAGGGGAAGAAAUACUUAGACCUAAUGGCCAAAGCUCGUUCCCCAGGCUCUCAGGGUGCUUCUGGUGUCACUGAUACCUUGUCUGUGAGAACGGAGAGAAUGGUUUGCCUGAUCUUGUCUGUGAAGCUUUUCCAGGAGGGACACUGGCUUACUCCUUAGCCGUGCUCACUCAGACUAAUUCAGAGACCUGCCCUGCCUCCUGGGUUGCGCAAAUCCAGAUUUCGUAUUUUUUCCUCUCUGGAGAACAUCGCCUCUUUCCCUCAGAAAAAUCCCUUGGCUCAGCACUGAUUUCAGGCUCCGAUAUGAAGUGCUUUAUUUGUAAAGCCUCCCUUGUUUGGCUCCCACUCACCUUGCCUGACCUCCUCCUCCUCCUCCUCCUUCCUCUCCUUCUCUUGGCCACGGGCUCCCUGGGCAAUCCUGUAGCGACCUCCCCUCUGUCCUCUUGCUGAACCUU
rnacentral:lncRNA from 1 species